GCGGCAGUAGCUCAGUGGUAGAGCCCCCGCCUCACAUGCGGGAGACCUGGGUUCGAUUCCAGGCUGCCUCC
rnacentral:tRNA from 1 species